AAUUAUUUAUGGGGUGUGUGUGUGUGUGUGAGAGAGAGAGAGAGAGAGAGAGAGAGAGAGAUUACAUCAAAUAUGGAAGAGUCCCGGGCCACAGAUGCGAGAAAAGAACCAACAAAAGAAUCACCAGCACCAGUUAACAAGGAUGCAUAGUACCUUGGUGAAAUAUCUGCAACCCUUCUCUCCAUCAGUGACAAGAAGCAACUUCAGUUUGUCAUGCCAGAGGGACAUAACAACUUCUUCCUUCUCAGCAUCUCCUUGUAUUCGGUUUCCUCAUUCCCUUGACCCAAGAUUUCAACAAAUUUUCAAGAAUCCCAGUCCAAGUUCUCAUUUAUAGACAUAUAACUCAAUUUAAUGGUGAAAAAGAAAAAAGAAUUUGGGUGUUAUAUAUUUAUAGUGUGGUAGAGGCCGUCCUACAAUUCAAGAAUAGAUUAAAAAAAAAAAUUAGUACCUUGAUGAAAUCAGCAUCAAAC